GGGGAAUUUUCCGCAAUGGGCGAAAGCCUGACGGAGCAAUACCGCGUGAGGGAGGAAGGUUCUUGGAUUGUAAACCUCUUUUCUCAGAGAAGAAAUAAUGACGGUAUCUGAGGAAUAAGCAUCGGCUAACUCCGUGCCAGCAGCCGCGGUAAUACGGAGGAUGCAAGCGUUAUCCGGAAUGAUUGGGCGUAAAGGGUCUGUAGGUGGUUGUUCAAGUCUGCUGUUAAAGCGUCUGGCUUAACCAGAUAAAGGCGGUGGAAACUGAACGACUAGAGUGCGGUAGGGGUAGAGGGAAUUCCCAGUGUAGCGGUGAGAUGCGUAGAUAUUGGGAAGAACACCUGUGGCGAAAGCGCUCUACUGGACCUUAACUGACACUGAUGGACGAAAGCUAGGGGAGCGAAUGGGAUUAGAUACCCCAGUAGUCCUAGCCGUAAACGAUGGAUACUAGGCGUUGCCCGUAUCGACCCGGGCAGUGUCGUAGCUAACGCGUUAAGUAUCCCGCCUGGGGAGUACGCACGCAAGUGUGAAACUCAAAGGAAUUGACGGGGACCCGCACAAGCGGUGGAGUAUGUGGUUUAAUUCGAUGCAACGCGAAGAACCUUACCAGGGUUUGACAUGUCCGGGAUCCUCUUGAAAGGAGAGAGUGCCUUCGGGAACCGGACACAGGCGGUGCAUGGCUGUCGUCAGCUCGUGUCGUGAGAUGUUGGGUUAAGUCCCGCAAACGAGCGCAACCCUCGUUUUUAGUUGCCAGCAUUAAGUUGGGCACUCUAAAGAGACUGCCGAUGAUAAAUCGGAGGAAGGUGGGGAUGACGUCAAGUCUUCAUGCCCCUUACACCCUGGGCUACACACGUACUACAAUGCUGUGGACAAAGGGCUGCAAACCAGCGAUGGCAAGCAAAUCUCGUAAACCAUGGCUCAGUUCAGAUCGCAGGCUGCAACUCGCCUGCGUGAAGUCGGAAUCGCUAGUAAUUGCAGGUCAGCAUACUGCGGUGAAUACGUUCCCGGGCCUUGUACACACCGCCCCGU
rnacentral:rRNA from 1 species